GAGGUUUUGGGAUUGAAAAUCUUGUGCCACAUGAUCUUCCGUAAAAAAAAAAGUCAGUUAUGCAGAUUGGAAAAGACAUGGAUGCAGCAAGGAUCCAGCUGAUUACUUCAGAUUUGGUGGACUGCUCUUUAUCUGCUGUGACUGUCACUUUUGGUGCAGAAUCAUGGACCUUUAUUUGUAUAUUUUGAUUUUACUUAUUAUUACACUUGUGUAGCUAGUAUUCAGGAUUAAAAUACAAUGUAAUUUUUGUCCACAUAUAAUAUCAGAGCUAUAUUGAAUCCAAUAGGGUCAGUCAAAUAUUGAGAAAAAACACUA